AUGUAAUUAAUGGUCUAAUAUGUAGAUGAUAAUCAGAAAUAUUUGACGUUUCGCCAAUGUAAGCUGUCGCUCAACUUACCUUGCGACCAGUGCAGACCAAGACCAGCCGGCACAUCCGUGCAGGCUGAUCAUAGUCUACACUCUUCGCUGUUCCGUCAGCAAAUUUUCAGUGAACACUCCUUUGAAUAAUAUGUGAUACUGCCAAAAUUGAAUGAUGGACCAUUUUUAAUGUUAAAAUGCAUGUAUGCUCAUUCGCAGAAAUGUCCGUUGUGAAACGUUACGACUGCGACGCUCAUUGCAGCUAUCCUGGAGGAUGUUGGGGACAACAUGGAGCAUGCAGUGGAAUCUGCUACUGUUAUGGGAGCGGGUUAGCGUACAGAUGUUAUUACUGCGACGUCUAAACAACUGCCAUAAAUAUCUAAACAGUUGUCAUGAACUGAAGAUAUAUUAAAUACAUGUAUAUAUCACCAAA